UACGUAGGGUGCGAGCGUUAAUCGGAAUUACUGGGCGUAAAGCGUGCGCAGGCGGUUUCGUAAGUCUGUCGUGAAAUCCCCGGGCUUAACCUGGGAAUGGCGAUGGAGACUGCGAGGCUAGAGUUUGGCAGAGGGGGAUGGAAUUCCGCGUGUAGCAGUGAAAUGCGUAGAUAUGCGGAGGAACACCGAUGGCGAAGGCAAUCCCCUGGACCUGUACUGACGCUCAUGCACGAAAGCGUGGGGAGCAAACAGG
rnacentral:rRNA from 1 species